rnacentral:misc_RNA from 1 species
GGUUUGAUUCUGGCUCAGAUUGAACGCUGGCGGGAUGCUUUACACAUGCAAGUCGAACUGGCCCGGACUUCGGUCUGGUGGCGAGUGGCGAACAGGUGAGUAAUGUAUCGGAACGUGCCUAGUAGCGGGGGAUAACUACACUUGAAAGCGUAAGCUAAUACACAUACGCCCGCUUCCGGGAAAGCAGGGGACAGCCGGGCCUCGCACUGGCCAAACGGCCGAUAUCGGAUUAGCUAGUUGGUGG